rnacentral:rRNA from 1 species
UACGGAGGAUGCGAGCGUUAUCCGGAUUUAUUGGGUUUAAAGGGUGCGUAGGCGGCCGAGUAAGUCAGCGGUGAAAUUUUGCAGCUUAACUGUAACAGUGCCGUUGAUACUGCACGGCUAGGAUUUGGUUGCUGUGGGUGGAAUGUGUGGUGUAGCGGUGAAAUGCUUAGAUAUCACACAGAAUAUCAAUUGCGAAGGCAGCUCACAAAGCCAAGAUUGACGCUGAGGCACGAAAGUGUGGGGAUCAAACA